rnacentral:lncRNA from 1 species
GCAUUUCCGCCUGCGGCAAAGUCGUCUGAACUUGAAGUUUCCUCACAUUACAAACACCGGCAGAACCACGUGCUGACUAAGUUUCUUUCUAUUGCUUCUACCUUCUGCUGUCGAAAAGAAAAAACGUCUCCAUUCGACUCAAACAAAAGCUGACAAUCUAUACGAUAUAUCGUAAAUCCUAAAAGGAAAAUAAAUAUAUUCCUAGUUUAAAUCGUGCGUCUGGCAGGGGGGUGGCGCCAGAGUUCCCACAGCAUGGCCGCAGAAUCGCGCUGAGGGUCUGGACCACCAGUUAGUUACCUUGAUGGACUCGGGGCUGGAAGGAGGAGGCUCUGUGAGAUACGAGUGUCCAUUUGAGAAGAAAUACAUCGGGGGAAAAUCUUGGCUAGUGACGUCAUCCACAACGCAUAGGCCUAUCGCUCGGCCACGGGAGUUUCCAGAGCCACAAUAGAACGACCUUCGCGACAUCUGGUUUUGGCAUCUGGAAGUUAUAUGCUACCGAUAGCGACAGAUUCUCACAGAUACAUAGAUAAAUAACUAUCUCUUUCUCUUUUUCUAAUAUCUAGUUUGAUUCGAGUCCGCUCUCUUAUCCUCUUUUCCUCUUCUCUCUAUCUCUCUUUCUCUUUCUAUCUAUCUAUCUAUUUCUCUCUCUCUCACUCUCACUCUUUCUCUCUCUCUCUCUCUCUCUCUCUCUCUCUCUCUCUCUCUCUCUCUCUCUCUCUCUCUCUCCCUCCCUCCCUCCCUCCCUCCCUCCCUCUCUCUCCCUCCCUCCCUCCCUCCCUCUUUCUCCCUCCCUCCCUCCCCUUCACAUCUGCCACCACGCUCAGCCUUCGCCAAGUCAACACCAUGCUGAGUCUGCCCUCCAAGUUCCGGUGGCGGGCGGCUGUCGUGUUCCUCCUAGGCAGUGUUUGUCUUAUGUUGUCUAUCUCCUUCUUCAGUGGUCCUACAUACCCCUUCAACGUGCCUCAGCAUUACGAGGGCAGCUCAGCCGUCAGCAGGAGACAUCUGGCCAGGCGUCUUCUGCAAGUUCAGAGGGAGAUCGAUCGUCUUGCGGGUAUGUGGACAGGAAGUUUUGUUGUUAACGCUUUUUUCCCUCCGUUUUUGGGUAU